rnacentral:rRNA from 1 species
UACGUAGGUGGCAAGCGUUGUCCGGAAUUAUUGGGCGUAAAGCGCGCGCAGGCGGUCCUUUAAGUCUGAUGUGAAAGCCCACGGCUCAACCGUGGAGGGUCAUUGGAAACUGGGGGACUUGAGUGCAGGAGAGAAGAGUGGAAUUCCAGGUGUAGCGGUGAAAUGCGUAGAUAUCUGGAGGAACACCGGUGGCGAAGGCGGCAUCCUGGACCGGCAUUGACGCUGAGGAGCGAAAGCCAGGGGAGCAAACGGG